GGACUACCCGGGUUUCUAAUCCUGUUCGCUCCCCACGCUUUCGCUCCUCAGCGUCAGUAUCGGCCCAGAGACCCGCCUUCGCCACCGGUGUUCCUCCUGAUAUCUGCGCAUUUCACCGCUACACCAGGAAUUCCAGUCUCCCCUACCGAACUCUAGCCUGCCCGUAUCGACUGCAGUCCCACGGUUGAGUCGUGGUUUUUCACAGUCGACGCGACAGGCCGCCUACGAGCUCUUUACGCCCAAUAAAUCCGGACAACGCUUGCGCCCUACGUCUUACCGCGGCUGCUGGCAC
rnacentral:rRNA from 1 species